UACGGAGGAUCCUAGCGUUAUCCGGAUUUACUGGGUUUAAAGGGUGCGUAGGCGGGCGCUUAAGUCCGCGGUGAAAGUCUGCGGCUCAACCGUAGGAUUGCCGUGGAUACUGGGCGCCUUGGAUUCGGUCGGGGCGGGCGGAAUGCGUGGUGUAGCGGUGAAAUGCAUAGAUAUCACGCAGAACGCCGAUAGCGAAGGCAGCUCGCCGGGCCGAUAUCGACGCUGAUGCACGAAAGCGUGGGGAUCAAACAGGAUUAGAUACCCUGGUAGUCCACGCCGUAAACGAUGAUGGCUGGAUGUUGGCGAUACACCGUCAGCGUCUGAGGGAAACCAUUAAGCCAUCCACCUGGGGAGUACGGCCGCAAGGCUGAA
rnacentral:rRNA from 1 species